rnacentral:lncRNA from 1 species
ACUGUGUCUGGAGCUGUGCAAGACCUCAGGGCUGCAAAUGAGACCAGGAUGCUGCCACCACCCUCAGGCACUUACUGCCUGAGAGGGAGGCCAAUCACAGGGGCCCGUCCAGACAUCUCCCAGCCCAGUGUUGCCCAGAGACACAGGGGAAUCACCCAGGGUCAGGUCCAAGGCCACGAGACACCUUGGGAAUAAGUGGGUUGGUUGUACAUCUGUUCACUCAGGAAGAGAAGCCAGGAGUCCUCGUAUGAAUGCCUGAACAUGGCGCAGGGAGGCCAGCAUCCUCCCGUGGGAAACAAGAGACAGAACACAGCCUGAGCAGGGGAGGCCGUGGCCCUAUGUGCUUUGAAGAAAACUCAUGGGAGUGGCCGGAGAGCAGCAGCUCAGACACAUCAGGGCUCCCAGCACCAGCAGCGGCAGCCCUGCCUCUCAGGCUGUCCCCUCUCACCCCUCUGGACACCUUGCACAGCGCCCGAAGCACAGCCUCACUCCCCAGUGCACAGGCCAGUCUGCCCAGGAUGCCACGGUCCAGUGCAGGAACACAUGUCCAAAAGUUGUCUUUUCUUCUGCAUGUGGAUGACGGGAGGCAUGCAGGAGGCAUUCAUGCACACUUGGAGAACAGUGUUGUGCUGCCAUUUGUGCCACCCUCCAGACUGUAUCUUUGAGUCAGACCAAUCGUAUUGCCCUCUCAGGCCAUUCUGUCUUCUCUGUUGCUAAAAUGCAGAAGGGAUUCUCCUGCUUCAGUUGUCACAACCUUCACAACACUGCAGGCGUGGCCAGUCUAAUCCAUAGGAACCACCAGAGAAUGAAAUUUCAUGGCCAUUCAAACGGAUUCCAGAGCUCAGCAUCAUUGCUCCUGUCAGUGUCCCCGCAAAGGAGUUUCUUACCAGGACUUGAAAAGCAGCCACUGCGAGAAGAGGAGCAUGGUGGGCUGGGAGUAUGUCCACCCUUCACAGACCACAGGAGAGGGACCUUGAGGGGUCCCCUGACCCAGCCCCACUGCUGUCCUUACCUGGGUGUCUCAGGGCACCUGCUACCCUUCACCAGAUGUUCAUUCCACGUACAAGUCCUGGUCCCAUGAUGUUCCAGGGGCUAUGCCAAGACUCCAAAAUUAAUAAAGACAGAGGCCUCCUCUGACCUCACUGCUGCCCUGGGUGGUGUCCCCCAGCUUCCAAGCAAU